rnacentral:rRNA from 1 species
GAUGAACGCUGGCGGCGUGCCUAAUACAUGCAAGUCGAGCGAACAGACGAGGAGCUUGCUCCUCUGACGUUAGCGGCGGACGGGUGAGUAACACGUGGAUAACCUACCUAUAAGACUGGGAUAACUUCGGGAAACCGGAGCUAAUACCGGAUAAUAUAUUGAACCGCAUGGUUCAAUAGUGAAAGACGGUUUUGCUGUAACUUAUAGAUGGAUCCGCGCCGCAUUAGCUAGUUGGUAAGGUAACGGCUUACCAAGGCAACGAUGCGUAGCCGACCUGAGAGGGUGAUCGGCCACACUGGAACUGAGACACGGUCCAGACUCCUACGGGAGGCAGCAGUAGGGAAUCUUCCGCAAUGGGCGAAAGCCUGACGGAGCAACGCCGCGUGAGUGAUGAAGGUCUUCGGAUCGUAAAACUCUGUUAUUAGUGAUGAACAAAUGUGUAAGUAACUAUGCACGUCUUGACGGUACCUAAUCAGAAAGCCACGGCUAACUACGUG